UACGUAGGGGGCAAGCGUUGUCCGGAUUUAUUGGGCGUAAAGAGCGCGUAGGCGGUCUGUUAAGUGAGAAGUGAAAUCUCCAGGGCUCAACCCGGAAACUGCUUUUCAUACUGGCAGACUUGAGGGAUGCAGAGGUUUGUGGAAUUCCUGGUGUAGCGGUGAAAUGCGUUGAUAUCAGGAGGAACACCCAUGGCGAAGGCAGCAAACUGGGCAUCAUCUGACGCUGAGGCGCGAAAGCGUGGGUAGCAAACAGG
rnacentral:rRNA from 1 species